GCGGGUGUAGCUCAGUUGGUUAGAGCGCUUGGUUGUGGCCCAAGAGGUCGCCGGUUCAAGUCCGGUCACUCGCCCCA
rnacentral:tRNA from 2 species